AUGCGGCAGUGCCGGGCCGCGGGGCUCCUGGUGGCUGUGAGCAGAGCCCAGGUGCAACAGGAGCCGUUGGCAGAGACCACCGAGGGGGCUGCAGUCAACAUCACCUGCUCACACCCCAACAUACAAAUCGGGUAUUCCAUCUACUGGUACCGUCAGCUCCCGGGCCGAGGACCCGCAUUCCUCGUCAGCGCUGUCAAAGGCUCCAAGGAGGUGCCGGACCCGGAGGGGCAGCUGUGGGUGUCGGCAGACCGCCGCUCCAGCGUUCUGCGUCUCGCCCGGCCCCGGCUCGGGGACGCGGCGCUGUAUUACUGCGCCGUGGACCCACAGGAAGCGAAGCCGGGGCUGCGUCCGGGCGCGAACCGCUUGGGGCGGGGCGGGGGCACAGUGCCGUCCGGGCCCGCAGGGGGCGCUGCCUGCAUGGCCGCCAAACUCCAUCCUGACCGGGGUGCGCCGCCCUGA